rnacentral:rRNA from 1 species
UACGUAGGGGCAAGCGUUGUCCGGAUUUAUUGGGCGUAAAGAGCGUGUAGGCGGCUUCACAGGUCCGCUGUGAAACUCGAGGCUCAACCUCGAGCUGUCGGUGGAAACCGUGUGGCUAGAGUCCGGAAGAGGAGAGUGGAAUUCCCGGUGUAGCGGUGAAUGCGCAGAUAUCGGAAGAACACCCGUGGCGAAGCGCUCUCUGGACGGUACUGACGCUGAGACGCGAAGCGUGGGAGCGAACAGG